UACGGGGGGGGCAAGCGUUGUUCGGAAUUCCUGGGCGUAAAGGGCUCGUAGGCGGCCAACUAAGUCAGACGUGAAAUCCCUCGGCUUAACCGGGGAACUGCGUCUGAUACUGGAUGGCUUGAAUCCGGGAGAGGGAUGCGGAAUUCCAGGUGUAGCGGUGAAAUGCGUAGAUAUCUGGAGGAACACCGGUGGCGAAGGCGACAUCCUGGACCGGUAUUGACGCUGAGGAGCGAAAGCCAGGGGAGCAAACGGG
rnacentral:rRNA from 1 species